CUUCUUCACCGCCGUGGUGACAAGAUAAAGAGGGAAGUAUUUUCAUGACACCAUGGGGAAGAUCUACAUGUUGGUCGUUAUUUUAACUGUGUUUCUUUUCCAUUUGGAGACCGAUGGUGCUACCAAUGUUUGUCAGAGUGGGUGGCUGCACUAUGCCAGGGCGUGCUACCUUUUCGUCAGUGAUGAACAAACAUGAUCUCAGUCAUUGAAUCAUUGUGCUAGUUUGAAUAGCGAUCUUCUAGCAAUAGAAAGUUCAGGUGAAAAUGAUUUCAUCAAAUUACAUCUUUAACAAGUGUACAUGCACAC